GGUACCGUAGUUCAGGGGUAGAAUAGAUCACUGUCUAUGAUCAGGUCGAGGGUUCGAACCCCUCCGGUACCG
rnacentral:tRNA from 1 species